rnacentral:rRNA from 1 species
UUGGAGGGCACAUCUGGUGCCAGCAGCCGCGGUAAUUCCAGCUCCAAUAGCGUAUAUUAAAGUUGUUGCAGUUAAAAAGCUCGUAGUUGAAUUUCGGGGUCAGUAUGUUGGUCGUGCCUCUGGUAUGUACUGGUCUCACUGAUUCCUCCCUCCUGAUGACCGUAAUGCCAUUAAUUUGGUGUUGCGGGGAAUCAGGACUGUUACUUUGAAAAAAUUAAAGUGUUUAA